GCCGCCGCCGCCCGCCCGCCCGCCUGCCCACCCGCCGGACAAAGCCCGAGAGCCCGCGUCCAGAGCCAUGUCCUCGUCCGCCGGCAACGGCCACCAGCCCAGCCAGAGCCGCGCCAUCCCCACCCGCACCGUGCCCAUCAGCGACGCCGCGCAGCUACCUCAUGACUAUUGCACCACGCCCGGGGGGACGCUCUUCUCCACCACGCCGGGAGGAACUCGAAUCAUUUAUGAUCGAAAGUUUCUGUUGGAUCGUCGCAACUCUCCCAUGGCUCAGACCCCGCCCUGCCAUCUGCCCAAUAUCCCAGGAGUCACCAGCCCCGGCACCUUAAUUGAAGACUCCAAAAUAGAAGUAAACAAUUUGAACAACUUGAACAAUCAUGACAGGAAGCAUGCAGUUGGAGAUGAUGCUCAGUUUGAGAUGGACAUCUGACUGUCCUGCGAGGAUCAGAAGAAAAGCGGCAACACUGAGACAUGUGUGUACCUGAUUUGGCCAAUAGGAUCAACAAUGCAGAGACAGAAGAGGCAGUACCAGCAAUCCCUGCUGCAGUCUCCUGCUCCCCUGCUCCUUCUCCGGGUGCCAAAGGAUGCAAAGAUGAGCUGCAUCUGACUAUUUCUUCUCCCUAUUUCCUGUUCCCCUUCCCAGUUAGACAGUUAGAUUGAAGGCCCUUCACAUAUUUCUGUAGAACUAAGCAGCCCACAGAGGAAAACAGUUAACCUCUGGUUCCCCCUUCCCCCCAUUUUUUUUAAAUCCCAAAUCAAAUAUCAACCUACCAAUAAUUGGCUGGCUGGGAAGUCUGGGGAAGUGAUAUGGAGGUUUGAUAGGUUCAGCAUCAUUCCUGUUCUUACCCUCUGUCUCUCCUCCCUGUCUUGCUCAUGUUUCAGUGCUGCAAAAGUCUGAGUUUGGGGUCUUGAAAACCCUUGGGUGGAAAUAGUAAACAGGAAGAGAGCUGCUUUCUCUUUUACCUUGAGGUGUUUGUCCUUGGGGACAGAACGCUGUUUGUACAUCUCUGGUAGCAUUACCCUGGGGCACUGUUUUGAGGUCCACUUCCCCUCCUUCCUCUGGGAGGAAUGUCUUCUGUCUUAUUAUAGUUCAUCUUCCCAUUCGUUUACUUAUCACAAUUGUGCAAACAUUUCUUAACUCUACAUCAGAAGGGGGUCUUUGGUCACCAGUUGUUCUUUUUCCUCCCCUUCUCCCACCCCUUCCUGCUUGCAUCUUGUUGCUUGCAAUCCUUUUGUACUCUGAGCUAUCCACGUGAUUUCUCCUGCUCCCAGAGCAGGUCCCGGAGGCUCUUUGGAUAAGGCCCGAUGUAUUGGGUUGACCAAAAAGUUCGUUCUGGUUUUUCCAUAAGAUGUUACAGAAAAACCAGAACGAACUCUUUGGCCAACCCAAUAGUCCUCUGCAGGAUGAUACCCAGGAAUGACCUCGGAAGACAUUGAACUGUUUGAGUACCCAGGCUCAGUAGUCUUUGUUUUUCAGUCCAGUGAGCAUUGUGCUACCUGUUGUCUGUGAUUUUUGAGUUUGAAGUUGACUUUCAGAAAUGCUCUUAGAAAAGAGCUGAACUUCUUUCCUCUGUGGACCUGCUUUGUUUGGCUGCUGAGAUAGAUAAGCAUGGGCUUAAAAAUGCGUUCCUUCCGCUUUUCUAUCUUUCCCAUGGUACUCUGAAUUUCCCCGUCUUUCACUCCCUCCCUCCCUCCUUCCUUCCUUCCCUCCCUUAUCUCUGCCAGGCCAUUUUUCAAAUGUACAUCCGGGAUACCUCAAGUGUCGGUAUCUGAUAAUAUCUGUCACUCCUCUUAACUGAGGAGUGACCUUUUAUUUUUAAGAUGAGUACAGACCUAUUUUUAGAUAUGUUUUCAGUACAAUUUUGAACAGCAACUUUUUAAUUACACACCUUCCAGUGUUAGGAGGGUGAGGAUUGUCCGUAGGCGAGUCUGCUGUUCCACGUCACCAUCCCUCGUCUUCCCUCGUCCCUUACGAGCUCUUUCCUUCUCGCUCUAGUUUUGGGUGUGCAUGUUUGGAGUUUGUAAGUGGGUGGAUUGUGAAACUGGACCCUUCUGCCUUCCCUGGGUUGUUCAUGGAACCUCAUUCUUUUCCCUUACCCUUUGCUGCUUCAUUCCCCAUCCCGUUGUCCUGACUAUUGACUGGCCCAGUAAUCCUGGGAGAGUGACUCUCCUCAUAGAAAGACAAGUAAAAUAGCCACUGGUGUCCUGGGAAUUUCUGGUUGGAUUUGGUGCCCUGAACCCUCUUAUUAAGAGAUCAGAUCCCAGGGUGAGAGUAACAGGCCAGUUGGCUAAGAUAGAAAGCUGUUUUUCUUUUGAACUAUGAAGAGACCCUGUUUGCGAAUACAUUUUAGACAGAAAGAAGGAAGGGUGUCUGAGGAACUUUGUUCUGUUUUCUGCUACAAAAUGUGAAGAGUUCAAAAAGUGAAACCUUUUGUGAUGGUUGAUGUCUCUCAGGAAUAAGCUGGAUCUCCAGUUUUGGAGAUGCUUUCAGUCUCAAAAAUUGAUGAAUGGAAAAGUAUUUUUUGUUUGCUUUUUAAUGUAUCUCUGUUUUGAUUUUAAUUAAACUCCAAAUUUCACUUUACAUACUCUUGGAACAACUUAAGGUGCAUUGGUAAUUUGCAUGAGAAGCUUGCUCAGGACCUCAUUGUCCCCUGGGAGCUUGAUUCUUUGGGAGUGACGCUUUCAUCCUCCUCAGGGCCCGGCCUGGGCAUCCUCUGGAAUCUGACUCCACCACAGCGAGUAGUCGGGCUGUCAGCAGAAGCACGUGCCCUUGUUUGCUCUUUACUGCUGCACAUGAAAACUCGGCUUCCUCGCUGAGAGACGGGGAGUGAAUUUAAAACAUGCCAGCUUGAGUAGUCUUAAGAUGCCAUGUUCCCCUUGUUUGCUCUCUUGAGGAAUUGCUGCAUGUGGCCCCCUAAUCAGAGGCCAUAUUUCUAGUACUUCUUGGGAGUGUCAGCUGUAUAAUAUAGCAGCUUCCCAAUCCUUUAGCCAUCUCUGUAACAACCUCCAUACUGCUUGGUGCAAUUCCUUCCUGGAGGCCACUGCUACUAGAGAUACUUUGGCCUCCAUAAAUCGGCAUUUCAAAGAUAAUUUCACAAGGCAAUAGAUGAACUUCCAACAGAUGACACCUUUGUGCCAUGCCUCAUAGAAUCAUUUUCAGGGCAAGCCAGAAUCCAGUAGGUGGUUUACUCCUGUAUGUUUGGAAGGAAUCUCACAGUUGAAGCCCUAAAUGAAUAAUCUCUCUGGGCUUUUUCCUGGAAAGGGAACCCCCUUAGGGUAGCAUUUGAUUUAGGCGGUUCUUAAAAUCUUAUUGAUUAUUUGUACUUUUCUUCUUAGGAGAAAACCAUGUUUCUGUACUUCUGGGGACAAUCCAUGUCGGGCAGCAUGAGUGUCCUCACAGCAUGGCAGCUGGCUCCCCCUGAGCAAGUGAUCCCAGAGAAAGAGGGCAAGGAGGAAUCUGCAGUGCCUUUUAUGACAGUCUCCGAAAGCACACGUCAUCACGCCUUCCUAUUCCGUUCCUUAGAAGCAAGCCACUAAGCCAGCCUACACUCAAGGGGAGGGGAGUUACACCCCACCUACUGCAUGGAGCGGUAUCAAAGAAUUUUGGGUGUACUUUAAAACCACCUCGCCCCCAAUAGAGAAUGAAACCAGGUCAACAAGAGGGGGUAGGUUUAAAGUAGAUGAUAUACUGAGAGACGUGUUGUUACUGAAAACAGUUCUCUUAAGAUGUGCAUCGACAAACAGAUGAAAAACGGAUUCUCUCCCCAUGGCUACUGCCAGUUUUAAGAGGGGAGGCAAGAAAUGGCAAUUCCCAGGAGAAUGUAUCUAUACAUUUGCCUGGCGUAUACUGCCAGCAGCCCAAGGUUGCUUCUUUGUAAGUCCUUGGCUUGGUAUCUAAGACUCAAUACUGCUUGCUCGGUAUCUCCUUUAGCCAGGAAUUGACAAAGGGAAUUGGAUCCUUCUAUUUGAGCCACUCAAAUGGACUUAAUUGGAGUCAGGGCUGUUAAGCAAAGGGAGCAAACUUGAAUUACAUUUUGGGUUACUGGGCUGAGGAAAGCUAACCGUUCUGAUUCAGGGUGACAUAGCUGAGAGCAUCCGGAAGCCAGGUCCCCACCAGAGUUGAUGCUUGGCACCUGCUGUCACAAACUACACCAGCUGAAGCAGACUUGAGCCAGGUCUGUCACUCAAGAAGCCACUUCUCAAUAAGUAGGGAACAUCUGGGAAUUAGAAAUGUCUGUCUGUGCUUUAUUGUUCUUUAAAUCCACUGCAGGUUAACUCUGCGUGCCCACCUCAUCCUGGGCUUCCUGAUGGAAACGGGUUCUUAAAGAGAACCAGUGCUGUCUACACCCUGAAGAAAAACUUAGAUGAAGCUUGUCAGUUCAACACGUGUUUAGUGAAUGUCUGCUAUGUGUUUCUGGCACCUGUGCCAAGUUUUUAGAGAUUUCAGACAUCUUAAGGAUGCAAAUUCUUGUUUGGAUUUAUGCUCCAACUCUUCCCAGCAUUUUAUCUAUAGCCCUGCUUGCUUUAGAGUAUGCUUGAAUAAAAAAGCAUUGCUGCUGAGGCAGCUAUAAAAAAAAAAAAAAGAAAAAGGUACUUCUUCCAGAAUUAACGAACUCAUCUUCAAAGCACCUUCAAGUGAAUUUUUUUCCGUCUGAUUUUGAGGUGGAGUCAAAAUAGGUGGUCUUCUAUUUUUGCUGUUUGGGUUACCAGCUCUCUGGGUCUGUCAGACCUUAGGGGUAUCAUGUAUCUUGGCUGCUUGAAGCCUGGGCCCUCAGCCCUUUACGUUCCCCUCCAGAAGGGAGGCCCGGUGCUUUUCUCUCUGGGUCAAAACUUCCCCUUAUCAUGUUUCUGGACUACAUGAUAAGGGGAGCUAUUUAUUAAUCUGCGAAACCCAAUCUCUUAGCUGCCCAUGAUAUCUAGGAGGGGGUAGUAUUUGUUUUAAAGAAGCGUUGUCAAAAAAAACAAAAAAGAAGCGUUGUUUCCUUGGGAGGGCAAUUUCUGUCUGGACUUUGAAAGGGGGCAUAGUUACCACCCAUUACUAUCCCCACCGCUUUACCUCUCUCCCAGCUUUUGAUAAAAGAUGACAUCACAUCUUGAGGCAGUCGGGUCACAAUUCUUUAGAAUGCUUAUACCCCAGGGGCGUUUCCUGUUCUAGUUAUGUUUUUCCAGUUGAGUAUUGGCGUUUCCCUGAGGCUUGCUCACGGACAUGUCUGAUUGAAGACUAAGGAUGGUUGAUACAGUCAUUACUGUCACCUUUCCCACCCUCUGUAAUUUACAUUUCUUUCUCUGGGCUGGUCCUGGAAGUUGACACCUUUUGGCAAAGCUUAGAUUUAGGAGAAGUAUUUCAAGUCCCUGUUCAGAUGAUCUGUGGUUUCUCUUUGCUUCCUCUGCCUGCAGCCCUGGCAGACCAUACUGUCUGGAUCCCCAAUGGGAAAUAGUACUGAGAUGAAACACAUUCCUGGGGUAUUUAAACUCUCUCUCUGCCACCUUUCUAAGAGUGGGAGGCUGGCAGAGAGAUGCUGCAGUGCUUGAUAAUCAUUUGGCCACGUUGAAAUUUCCAAAGGGAGCUCUUGCCGGUGCUUAAACCCCAAAUUCCUGAACACCUGAGAUUGCAUGAAUCUAGCACAGAAUAUCCGUUCUUGCCCCAAUGUACCCCCUUCGUCUCCAUCUUGAUCUUUAAAACAAAACAAAAAACCCAAGCCCAGGCCAAGGGUCAUUUUUACUUGAAACCAGGAGAGUGGGGGAGUAACACGAGAGAUGAGGGGCAAGCUGUGUGGUGAGGCAUCCUGCUCCUGGUGUGUGUUCCAAUCACUGAGGACUGUGAGCCAGUGCCUUUCCUUCGCCUGGAGAUGGAGCCCAUCUCUUGCCACCUGGGUGAGGAGACCCUCUGCUACCCAGGGGCGAACCUUAAAGAGGGUGUCUUGGAGAGCCCAGAGGACACUCACAUUUUUCGGAUGUCCAUUUUAAGCAUCUUUAAAAUGUUUUAUAUAUAUUUUAAAAAAAUGUUCUUCCCUGUCGUCGUGCCACCAGUGGCCCAGUUCCAUCCAUUCUGAAUGGAAAAACAGAGACUGCCAGUACUUUCCUUGGUCUUCCCUUCGUCUCCCUUAAUGUGGGUAUCCCCUUACCCGGCCUGUCCAUUUCACUGUCAUGGAUGGAGAACAGAGAGCACCACGCAGUCCUGAGGCAGUCCUGUGUGACUCUGUGAUCAGGUUUUUGUUUCUUGUUUUUCUAACUGUCCUUCCAAACCAGCAAGUGUUUGGAAAUUAGGGGGAAAGUUAAAUUCUCACCAACGGUUGCUGUUACACUUGAAUCAAUAAAGAUCUUGAGUAUCACCUUGGUGUUUUUAAUUUUUUUUUUUUUUAAAUUUCAGGUGAAAUCCUGUUGACACAUUUUGGGCAUCUUGCCUGGUGAGGAAGAUGGGCAAAGGCAGUUGGCCACUUCAUGUGUCAGUUCCUCUCAACAUUUACGGAGCACUUUGUCCAUCUGGCCCUGUAUGUGCCAGGAGGUGAUGUGUCCCUUCCCUAAGGAGCUUGGAGGUGAACACGUACAUGCUGGGGCUGGAUGCACCCAAGAAGGCCCUUCUUUAGGUACCAGCCUGGAGGAAGCCCAGACAACAGCCUUCCUGACGAGGGCUGCCUCUGCCUCUCAGGAGCACUUGUUAGAAAUCCAUCAUAUCUGAUGUCUGAAAAUAAACUAGACUCUGCUGCGUGAGCAUCA